ensembl:lncRNA
GGAGAUAUCAAUCAGAAUUAUGCCCAGUAAAUGGGUAGUUGUGAUUGGGUUUGGUGGAUAAAUAAAUCAAUCAGUGUUUCCUUGGAAGGGUAUAAAACUGAAGCACAUCGGGUUUCUUCACUCCAUUGGACUUCCUUCAGCUUGUUCGUGCCGUGGGACACGGGCUUUUGGCUCCUGUGACGAUGGGUUCCCACCAGCAGAAGGGCGAAGGCCAAGGAAUCUCUGAGCAGUCCGGUGGAUGCCAUGGUGGUGGCAGUGGAGGAAGCUCAUGCCAUGGGGGUGGUGGAGGAGGAUCCUGCCACAGUAGUGGCGGUGGAGGAUCUAUAGGAUAUCAGAGCCAAGGAUCGUCCUGCCAUGGUGGAGGAAGCAGCGGUGGUGGUGGUGCUAUCUACCAGACCCACAUAUCAUCGUCCUCCUUUGGAGGAGGAGGAGGAGGAGGAGGAGGAAGUUCAGGCCACCAGGGACAAGAACCCAUCUGCAUUAUUGGAGGAGGAGGCGGCAGCAGUGGUGGUGGAGGUGGUUCCAGCCACCAGAGCCAAGGACCCAUCUGCAUCGGUGGAGGUGGAGGAGGAGGUGGUGGCUCUGACCACCAGAGCCAAGGACCCAUCUGCAUCGGUGGAGGAGGUGGGGGUGGUUCUGGUCACCAGGGCCAAGGAUCCAUCUGCAUUAUUGGAGGAGGCUCUGGUGGAGGUAGUUCAUCUGGCUCUGGAGGCAUGUCCAUGCAGCAGCAGACCCAGCCUAUCUCCUGGCCACCACAGACUAAACACAAGUAGGGGCUUUAGAAGAGAAUUUUGUAACAAGAAAGCCCAGGAUGCAAACAUUAUCUCAUUUCUUACUCCGGUAAAUGUAAGAAUACUUGCAUGAUUCCUUUCACCUCUGCCUUGGAAUUUUUCUCUUCAGCUCUCCAGCCAACCAGAACCUCCAGUGAUGUGUAUCAACAACUUGCAGCCUCAUGUGGGGUUACUUCAUAUGCCAUUUUUCUGCCUCAAUUUUCUACUGUUUGCACAAGACAAAUAAAACUGCAGCUGUAGAGAACUUCAGUGUCUGAGUGCUUGCAUUCUGUUUGCACCACCUAUUUUCAUUAUUUCAGUCACCAAGAUUUCUUUCUGAGGUUAUGCUGUUUUAAUAAAACUCCAGAGCACAAAUGCAUUGCAAGCCCACUGUAGAAGAGAGGUGGGAUUCCCUAGAUAUUUUAGAUCGUCUUUAAAUAUCAGUUGCUACACGUGACCCUGACUUUUGCCCAUCAGAUAUAGUACCCUCAAAGUUAAACAUUGAAAAAAGUCUCUCUCUUUCAUCUAGGUACCACACAAUGCCCAAGGAAAGUGUAGAUAAGAGAGGGAAAAUGCAAAACUCUUAACACUUUAGUACAAAGGAGUACAGGGAACCAUUACAGGUGUGAGGCUGAGCCUCUUGAAUGAUGAAGGAGAUCUUGGUGCUCAUAGCUGCACUAAGCACUAAGAGACAUGAGGUCUGUCAAACCCUGGCUCCAGCUCUGAGCUCCUGGAGCAUCCAGCAGGGACAGGACUUCAAACAGUCCCUUCCAGGGCUGAGAUGUUAAGCCUGGAGUAGCUGGGGAGCUCCUCACUCACGCAGGGAUAAAACACCGCUCCAGGUAUGAGUCUUCACUGGGAGUUUCCCUAUGGGAAGUGAUUCCUUUGAUGUGGUACGUUCUGUCAAUUAACAGUUGCAGUGCGGAAUGUAAAAUAAACAGUAAUAUUUAAUUCUUCUGGCAGACAACCUUGGCUGCUCCGCUCUCCAUUUUAUUACUGCUUCAAGCAGGUUGGCUAGCUAAUUUUUAAAAGAAAAAAUAGUCUUCGAGAGUAAAUACUGGAGUGAGAGGUUCUGGGGGAACUGAGGUGACCCACUGGGUGGGAAUGAAGGGGUGCCCAUGCUGCUGCUUCCAGUUUCAGCCCUGGUGCAGUGGUAUGGUCUCCCCCACCCAACUCAACACCUUGCAACUGAAAGCUGUGGAUGCAUCCCAAGCACAUCUCACUCAGGGGUUCCAGCCAGGACAGUGCCACAGGGAUCUACCAAGCACAAAGUGGGACACAAGGACCCCACAAAGCUGCAUCAAGCAGCAUGCAGGGACUGGAUCCAGCACUGGCCAGUGGCUGGGGCCUCUACCCUCUACCUCCAGCACUUGGAUUCCAUGCUGGAGCAGGUAUCACCCUUAAUUCCAAGAGGCAGCAAAAAUCCUACCUGACCUCUGUGCUGCCCAUAAUGGGACAUGCAAAAAAGAUAUGAUCCAUGCUAGAUUAUCACGAUGGGUUGUCCCAGCACGUGGGGAUCUUCUACUCCCUUCUGCUGCUCCAGCGACAGCACUACCAACUACUGCAGCUCUCUCCUGUCUUCCUGACAUCUCCAUUGCGGUGAUGGGUUGAUGGUUGGACUAGAUGAUCUUAAUGGUCUUUUGCAAACUUAAUGAUUCAAUGAUUCAGUGAUUCUAUGAUUGUAAUGAACAAUAAACACAAGUCCUCACACCAUCCCAGCAGCAUCCCCUAGCUCACGUGCAGGGCGCUGGAGCCCCACAGCUACUGCCUUCAAACACAACCACGGGAGCAGAGCUCACAUGAGAUCCGCACCCAGACUUUGAGUAGCUUAGGAAGUGAUUCAAGAGAGAAGCAUUGAUCUGAUUCGAUGAGUCAAGAGGACAACUGGCCUGAAGGAACACAGUCUAUUUAUCUAGUAAAUAAACCCAUCACCAUUCCUCUGGAUGCCUCACAGCCCACUUAGCAGAGCUAGAGGCAGUAUAAAAGUUGCUUGGUUCUGUAGUCCAUCACUCGCUCAGAGUUGCGCUGUUGAACGUGUCAUCAGAACCAAGAAGGGUAAGUCCAUUUCUGCUUACGGGAGCAAUUCUUCUGAUUUUUGUGCUUGCAAAACAGAACCGCCUUGGUGGAGCACACCAGAUGGGUGGUGACUUGAAGCUUAGGGAGGUUGUUUUGGCGAAUUUAAAUUUCUUGAGGAUAUUAGCUGACGAAGGAUCGCCCCAUGAUACUGGAAAUUAUGAGGACAGAGAUCCAGAGGGAACAUUUUUGGAAAAAGUCUCUAAAUUGAGGAGUUUAGCUUCAUUAUCUUCAGUAGUCCUGUGCUGUCCUGAGAGUAAAGGCUUUAUAUGUGGUUGGAAUACAUGGGUGACAGUUAUCUGGAAGGAAAUUCAGUGAAUGCUGGGAAAUAUUCUUUCAAUGGACCAAUGAUCCUGGAGGCAGGGAUCAUUUUGAUAGUAGUGUCUUCUUUUCAGUAACAAAUAUAUGCUUUCUUGCAGGGCCACUGCACAGAGAUGUGUUCCCGACAGAGCUCCGGAGGCUGCCAUGAGUCAUCUUCCCAGUCCGGGGGAUGCUGCAGUGGGGGCAGCUCCUCCAGCUACCAGGCACAGGGCUCCUCCUGCUGCGGGGGCUCCUCGGGAUACAGCAUGGGAGGAGGAUACAGUGGUGGCAGUGGGGGAUCGAGCCAGAAGAUCAUCAUUAGCUCAGGAGGAGGAGGAGGAGGUUCGUCUGGAUGCUGUGGUGGAGGAUCCAGCAGUGGUGGGUCUUCAGGAGGCAAGAUCAUCAUUGGAGGAGGUGGAAGCAGUGGGGGAUCCUCUGGGUGCUGCAGUGGAGGCUCCUCGGGCUACGGAAUAGGAGGAGGAUACAGCAGUGGUGGUUACUCGGGAUCCAAGAGCAUCAUUGGAGGAGGUGGAAGCAGUGGUGGAUCCUCUGGAUGCUGUGGUGGGGGAUCCAGCAGUGGUGGGUCUUCAGGUGGCAAGAUCAUAAUUACAGGAGGUGGAAGCAGUGGAGGAUCCUCAGGAUGCUGUAGUGGGGGAUCCAGCUACGGGGGUGGAUAUAGCAGUGGAUCAUCAGGAUCGAAGAGCAUCAUUGGAGGUGGAAGCAGUGGAGGUUCCUCUGGAUGCUGCAGUGGUGGCUCUUCUGGCUAUGGCACUUCAGGCUAUGGCUCUUCCAGCUAUGGCAGUGGGGGAUCAGGCCAGAAGAUCAUCAUUAGCUCUGGAGGAGGAGGAGGAGGUGGCUCAUCUGGAUGCUGUGGUGGGGGAUCCAGCAGUGGUGGCUCUUCAGGUGGCAAGAUCAUAAUUACAGGAGGUGGAAGCAGUGGGGGAUCCUCUGGGUGCUGCAGUGGAGGCUCCUCGGGCUACGGAAUAGGAGGAGGAUACAGCAGUGGUGGUUACUCGGGAUCCAAGAGCAUCAUUGGAGGAGGUGGAAGCAGUGGUGGAUCCUCUGGUUGCUGUGGUGGAGGAUCCAGCGGUGGUGGGUCUUCAGAAGGAAAGAUCAUCAUUACUGGAGGUGGGAGCAGUGGUGGAUCCUCUGGAUGCUGUAGUGGGGGAUCCAGCUACGGGGGUGGAUAUAGCAGUGGUUAUUCAGGAUCCAAGAGCAUCAUUGGAGGUGGAAGCAGUGGUGGUUCCUCUGGAUGCUGCGGUGGUGGCUCUUCUGGCUAUGGCUCUUCCAGCUAUGGCAGUGGGGGAUCAGGCCAGAAGAUCAUCGUUAGCUCUGGAGGUGGAGGAGGUGGCUCAUCUGGAUGCUGUGGUGGGGGAUCCAGCAGUGGUGGAUCUUCCGGAGGCAAGAUCAUUGUUGGAGGAGGUGGAAGCAGUGGGGGAUCCUCCGGAUGCUGCGGUGGGGGAUCCAGUGGGGGCAGUGGCGGUUCCUCGGGCCACACCAUCAUCAUCAGCUCCGGAGGAGGCAGUGGUGGGUACGGCCAGUCCUCGCAGCAGAAAUGUCCCAUUGUCAUUCCUCACAUCGAGAGCCACCAGACCAAGCAGGCCUGCUACUUUCCUGGCCAGCAGAAGUGACCGCCCCGGGCAGCGCAGCACUCAGCAGGAACAGCCCUGCCUCUGUUUUCCAUGUUUGUCUACUUCCCCACCAUGUGUCCUCUUCUCAAUCCUUGAUGCUCCAUCACUAUGCCAUGAACUCUGGGCUUAACAACCUUUUGCUCCGUGCUGGUGUUGUGAUUUCUUUGGUCAAAUUGUGCUCCAUUUUCAGUAAGGAUUUGUAGUACCUAAUAAAUAUCACGACAUCACAAUGUAGAUUUAUUUUUGAGUUUCCUUUUUUCUUGCUUUCUCACACAGCAUCUCAUCAUCUCAGAAGCAGGAAAUGUAUCUGAUAAGUUAGUUGACUCCCCCAUUGAGAUGUUCUGCAGUGCAUCAUCACAGCUCUAAAGCCAAUGCACCAUAGAGUCUAGAAGGCUGCUGCACCUUUCUUUUCCUCUGGGCUCCAAAGCAGAGCAACAACACAUCCUAAAGCAUCAAACACCCACAGCUCCCAGCAUCCCCUUGACUCCUGUGUUGGUGGUGCCCUUUCACUGUCACCCCAGCUCAUGGCUCUGAUUCCUCUGGGGCAGCAGCACACAGUGUUGAUGCCCAUGGAGCAGCACAGAGCUGCUGGAUUGUGCAGCUGAGACUGUUGGGUUCCAACCUGAAGCUGUGGAAGCAGGAAAAGCCCGCAUUAACAGUUAUCACUGCCUAGAGUGGCUCAAUGCCAUGCCAAUGUCCAUGUCCUUGCUGUACACCUUCCCUCCCAGCUUUGCAAACCUCAGAGCAGCUCUGCCUGGUGGAAAGCCUCCCACGCUGGCUUGGCUGAAUGAGUCCUGGGCCAGCAGGAGGAAAUAAAGCCAACAGCACAGCCCUUAGGCUGUGACAGCACACCACACUAUGCCUCCAGGUCUUAAUUCCUCCUUGUCCAUGUUUGGAAACCUGCUUUGAAACGAAACGCUCAAGGGCAG